rnacentral:rRNA from 1 species
UACGUAGGUGGCAAGCGUUGUCCGGAAUUAUUGGGCGUAAAGCGCGCGCAGGCGGUCCUUUAAGUCUGAUGUGAAAGCCCACGGCUCAACCCGUGGAGGGUCAUUGGAAACUGGAGGACUUGAGUACAGAAGAGGAAAGCGGAAUUCCACGUGUAACGGUGAAAUGCGUAGAGAUGUGGAGGAACACCAGUGGCGAAGGCAGCUCGCUGGGACGGUACUGACGCUGAGGCGCGAAAGCGUGGGGAGCGAACAGG